UACGGAGGAUCCGAGCGUUAUCCGGAUUUAUUGGGUUUAAAGGGUGCGUAGGCGGCCUGGUAAGUCAGGGGUGAAAGACGGUAGCUUAACUAUCGCAGUGCCCUUGAUACUGCUGGGCUUGAAUGUAGUUGAGGUAGGCGGAAUGUGACAAGUAGCGGUGAAAUGCAUAGAUAUGUCACAGAACACCAAUUGCGAAGGCAGCUUACUAAAGUAUGAUUGACGCUGAGGCACGAAAGCGUGGGGAUCAAAACAGG
rnacentral:rRNA from 1 species